UGCAAGUCGAACGAGAAAGUACUUCGGUAUGAGUAAAGUGGCGCACGGGYCCGUAACACGUGGAUAAUCUCCCCUAAGGCGAAAAAUAACCCCUCGAAAGAGGAGCUAAUAUUUCAUAAGACCACAGAUUCUUCGGAAUUCGAGGUAAAAGAUGGCCUCUAUUUAUAAGCCGUCMCCAGAGGAUGAGUCCGCGCACCAUUAGCUAGUUGGCAGGGUAAAAGCCUACCAAGGCAAAGAUGGUUAGCUGAUCUGAGAGGAUGAUCAGCGACACUGGAACUGAAACACGGUCCGGACUCCUACGGGAGGCAGCAGUGGGGAAUAUUGGACAAUGGACGAAAGUCUGAUCCAGCAACGCCGCGUGAGCGAUGAAGGCCUUCGGGUCGUAAAGCUCUGUCAGAUGGAACGAAAGAAGCUGACCUAAUACGUCAGCUGUUGACGGUACCAUCAAAGGAAGCACCGGCUAACUCUGUGCCAGCAGCCGCGGUAAGACAGAGAGUGCAAGCGUUGUUCGGAAUUACUGGGCGUAAAGAGCGCGUAGGUGGUCCUGUGUGUCUGGUGUGAAAGCCCUUGGCUCAACCAAGGAAGUGCGCUAGAAACUGCAAGACUCGAGUUCGGGAGAGGAUGGUAGAAUUCUCAGUGUAGAGGUGAAAUUCGUAGAUACUGGGAGGAACACCGGUGGCGAAGGCGACCAUCUGGACCGAUACUGACACUAAAGUGCGAAAGCGUGGGUAGCAAACAGGAUUAGAUACCCUGGUAGUCCACGCCGUAAACGAUGAUAACUAGAUGUAGGAGGUAUUGACCCCUUCUGUAUCGCAGCUAACGCAUUAAGUUAUCCGCCUGGGGAGUACGGUCGCAAGAUUAAAACUCAAAGGAAUUGACGGGGGCCCGCACAAGCGGUGGAGUAUGUGGUUUAAUUCGACGCAACACGAAGAACCUUACCUGGGUUAR
rnacentral:rRNA from 1 species